CAAUCUGCCCAUCGGCCUGGGAGUAACAAUUGGAAACGAACUGCUAAUACCGGAUAGGUGAUGAAGAGGCAUCUCUUGAUCAUUAAAGUUGGGAUACAACACGGAUGGAUGAGCUUAUGGCGUAUUAGCUGGUAGGUGAGGUAACGGCUCACCUAGGCGAUGAUACGUAGCCGACCUGAGAGGGUGACCGGCCACAUUGGGACUGAGACACGGCCCAA
rnacentral:rRNA from 1 species